rnacentral:rRNA from 1 species
UGGGGAAUAUUGCACAAUGGGCGCAAGCCUGAUGCAGCCAUGCCGCGUGUGUGAAGAAGGCCUUCGGGUUGUAAAGCACUUUCAGCGAGGAGGAAGGUGGUGAACUUAAUACGUUCAUCAAUUGACGUUACUCGCAGAAGAAGCACCGGCUAACUCCGUGCCAGCAGCCGCGGUAAUACGGAGGGUGCAAGCGUUAAUCGGAAUUACUGGGCGUAAAGCGCACGCAGGCGGUUUGUUAAGUCAGAUGUGAAAUCCCCGGGCUCAACCUGGGAACUGCAUUUGAAACUGGCAAGCUAGAGUCUCGUAGAGGGGGUAGAAUUCCAGGUGUAGCGGUGAAAUGCGUAGAGAUCUGGAGGAAUACCGGUGGCGAAGGCGGCCCCCUAGACGAAGACUGACGCUCAGGUGCGAAAGCGUGGGGAGCAAAACAGGAUUAGAUAACCCUGGUAGUCCACGCUGUAAAACGAUGUCGAUUUUGGAGGUUGUGCCCUUGAGGCGUGGCUUCCGGAGCUAACGCGUUAAAAUCGNACCGCCUGGGGAGUACGGCCG